GAUCAACGCUGGCGGCGUGCCUAACACAUGCAAGUCGAACGCGAAAGGGGCUUCGGCCCUGAGUAGAGUGGCGUCCGGGUGAGUAACGCGUGGGUAAUCUACCUUCGGGUGGGAAUAACCAGUCGAAAGAUUGGCUAAUACCGCAUAAUGCAGCGGCACGACAUCGUGACAGUUGUUAAAGGAGCAAUCCGCCUGAAGAGGAGCCUGCGUCUGAUUAGCUUGGGUUGAGGUAACGGCUCACCAAGGCUACGAUCAGUAGCUGGUCUGAGAGGACGGCCAGCCACAAUGGCACUGAAACACGGGCCAUACUCCUACGGGAGGCAGCAGUGGGGAAUUUUGCGCAAGUGGGCGAAAGCCUGACGCAGCAACGCCGCGUGAGGGAUGAAAUCCUUCGGGAUGUAAACCUCGCAAAUAUGGGAAGAACUCAAUGACGGUACCAUAUGUAAGCCACGGCUAACUACGUGCCAGCAGCCGCUAGU
rnacentral:rRNA from 1 species